rnacentral:tRNA from 1 species
AAAUAUGUGCCUGAUUAAAGGGUUAAUUUGAUAGAUUAAAUAAUAGAAUAUUAUAUUGGUUUUUC